rnacentral:tRNA from 1 species
UCCCUGGUGGUCUAGGGGUUAGGAUUUGGUGCUUUCAUUGCUGCCGCCCGGGUUCGAUUCCUGGUCUGGGAA